AUGGAGAACAAGGGGGCGGCGGCCGUGCCGGAUAAGGAGGCGCAGGCGGUGGCGUCGACGUGCUUCAAGUGGACGGUGGGGGAGGGUGCAUCGUUCAUGGAGCGGGCCAAGGACCAGUACAAGCAGUUCACGGAGGCGCAGGCGAGCGAGCACUGGGAGUGCAUCAAGAACAAGGUCAGCUCCAUGUUCGCCGACUUGGGCGGAGGCGCCAAGGACCAUGGCUCAACGACCAACACAACGACGUCCGUCCAGUCGCAGUAG
rnacentral:rRNA from 1 species